rnacentral:rRNA from 1 species
UACCUCUUGUUGCCUCGGCAGGCCUCGCCUACCCUGUAGCGCCCUUACUCCGUAGGGCCUACCCGGGGAGUGCGGGGGUCCCUGCCGGCGGCCCGCAAAACUCUGUUUAGCACUGAAUUUCUGAAUAUAUAACUAAAUAAGUUAAAACUUUCAACAACGGAUCUCUUGGUUCUGGCAUCGAUGAAGAACGCAGCGAAAUGCGAUAAGUAAUGUGAAUUGCAGAAUUCAGUGAAUCAUCGAAUCUUUGAACGCACAUUGCGCCCAUUAGUAUUCUAGUGGGCAUGCCUGUUCGAGCGUCAUUUCAACCCUUAAGCCCCUGUUGCUUAGCGUUGGGAGCCUACGGCAGCGUAGCUCCCCAAAGUUAGUGGCGUGGUCGGUUCACACUCCAGACGUAGUAGAUUUUCACCUCGCCUGUAGUCGGACCGGUCCCCUGCCGUAAAACACCCCAAUUUUUAAAGGUUGACCUCGGAUC